GUGCUCAUUUCCAUAGCACACAUUUUAAAAUGGGAAUGAUACAGGGAAGAUUAUUAUGGUCUCUGUGCAAGGAUGACAUGAAAAUUUGCAAAACAUUCUAUAUUUUU
ensembl:snRNA U6 U6 spliceosomal RNA